UUCCUCCAUGUAUGUGCAUGUGUGUAUAGUUGUGUGUGCAUGUUCAUGUCUAUAUUUGAAUAUACAUAACAUACACACACAUGUAUAAACGCAAGCACACAUACACAGA
rnacentral:pre_miRNA from 1 species